rnacentral:rRNA from 1 species
GAUGAACGCUGGCGGCGUGCUUAACACAUGCAAGUCGAACGGAAAGGCCCAAGCUUGCUUGGGUGCUCGAGUGGCGAACGGGUGAGUAACACGUGGGUGAUCUGCCCUGCACUUUGGGAUAAGCCUGGGAAACUGGGUCUAAUACCGGAUAGGACCAUCGUUUAGUGUCGGUGGUGGAAAGUUUUUCGGUGUGGGAUGAGCUCGCGGCCUAUCAGCUUGUUGGUGGGGUAAUGGCCUACCAAGGCGUCGACGGGUAGCCGGCCUGAGAGGGUGUACGGCCACAUUGGGACUGAGAUACGGCCCAGACGCCCACGGGAGGCAGCAGUGGGGAAUAUUGCACAAUGGGCGCAAGCCUGAUGCAGCGACGCCGCGUGGGGGAUGACGGCCUUCGGGUUGUAAACUCCUUUCGCCAAGGACGAAGCGUUUUGUGACGGUACUUGGAGAAGAAGCACCGGCUAACUACGUG